GGGUCAGUGGGUUGGUCGUGCCACCGGUACGUACUGGUCUCACUGAUUCCUCCAUCCUGAAGAACCGUAAUGCCAUUAAUUUGGUGUUGCGGGGAAACAGGACUGUUACUUUGAAAAAAUUAGAGUGUUUAAAGCAAGCUAACGCUUGAAUACAUUAGCAUAGAAUGAUGAAAUAGGACGAUCGAUCCUAUUUUGUUGGUUUCUAGGAUUGACGUA
rnacentral:rRNA from 1 species